UACGGGGGGGGCAAGCGUUGUUCGGAAUUACUGGGCGUAAAGGGCUCGUAGGUGGCCAACUAAGUCAGACGUGAAAUCCCUCGGCUUAACCGGGGAACUGCGUCUGAUACUGGAUGGCUUGAGUUUGGGAGAGGGAUGCGGAAUUCCAGGUGUAGCGGUGAAAUGCGUAGAUAUCUGGAGGAACACCGGUGGCGAAGGCGGUAUCCUGGACCAACACUGACACUGAGGAGCGAAAGCCAGGGGAGCAAACGGG
rnacentral:rRNA from 1 species